GUCCCAUUUCGAGGAGACACAAUUCAGACUUGAGACGAUACAGAGAAGAAUAGCAUUGCCAUUGCCCUAGGAUAUCACAUUGCGCAGAAGACUUCAAAAUAAGA
rnacentral:snRNA from 1 species